UACAUGGGGUGCAAACGUUGCUCGGAAUUAUUGGGCGUAAAGCGCACGUAGGCGGUUCGUUAUGUCGGAUGUGAAAGCCCUUGGCUUAACCGAGGAAGUGCAUCCGAAACUGGCGAGCUAGAGUACUAAAGAGGAUCGCGGAAUUCCCGGUGUAGAGGUGAAAUUCGUAGAUAUCGGGAGGAACACCAGUGGCGAAGGCGGCUCACUGGACCGGUACUGGACGCUGAGGCGCGAAAGCGUGGGGAGCAAAC
rnacentral:rRNA from 1 species